UUGCACAUAAUACAAUAACUGUGUUCUAUAUCCCAAAAAAAACUUUUUUAAUGAGCACAUUCCACAAGAAAGUAAACGCUUUCGCUGAUAAACAUAAAGCUACAAAUUAUACUAGAUUGUAACAAAACUAAAAACAAAAAUAAAGUGAUACAAUAAACCAGCCCAUUGCAAACCACAGCUGCAAAAGAAAAACAUUUUGCUUCCCUAUUUUAUAACAUUAUGGAUAUUUCAGCACACAACACAUACGUUCUGUGGAAAGAGCGAAAUCCCAGCUGGAAGGCAAGCAAAAAGCAAAGUCGCAGAAUAUUCCUGCAGGAGCGCCCAUCGCACCCAAUUUGGAGAAGCCCAGCUCAGUGAACGGGGCAAUAUUUUAAUUCUGAAGGGCAUUCAUGCGGAAAAAGGGGUGUAAUGUGUCCAGAUGGCCCUGCAGUGCUCUGCCACAUGAACGUCAGCGAGACGGUUCAUCAUGUGGCAUUCUUACUUUAAAAUUUGCUGAGUGCAUCUUGAAGGGAGUGCCAAUCAACAUCCUGACCACAGAGGAGGCUGUGAACCAGAUGAGGUGGGAUGUUGCAAUGAAACUUCUUGAAGAAUCAGACAAUCUCAGCAACCUGUGUCAUUAUUGUGGGUUGGAUGAAAAUGAAGACCCAAAUUGGAUCUGCUGUGAUAAUUGUGGGAGGUGGUACCACCAUGAGUGCGUACAGAGGCCGCCACUGCACAAGAACUACCUGUGCCCUGCAUGUAAAUAAAUGUUCAGUUCUUGCUUUUUUUUGUUAAUUGUUGUUUGCAUUUAUUUUUUUAUGUUCUUGUUCAUUUAAUUUGGAAAAAUUCGUUAUUUAUUGAUUAAUUAUUCAUUCUUGUUCUUUUAAUUUGGAGCAAUUUGUUAUUUAUUAGUUUAUU